UCAGGCCUAACACAUGCAAGUCGUACGAGCGCGAGGGGUAGAGCAAUCUAUCGCUCAAGCUAGUGGCGGACGGGUGAGUAACGUGUAGGAACAUGCCUUAGAGUGGGGGAUAACCUAGGGAAACCUAGGCUAAUACCGCGUACGAUCGCAAGAUGAAAGUCUGGCAGUCCUCGUGGCUGACGGGCGCUCUGAGAGUGACCUACAUUAGAUUAGCUUGUUGGUGAGGUAAUGGCUCACCAAGGCUGCGAUCUAUAGCUGGUUUGAGAGAAUGAACAGCCACACUGGGACUGAGACACGGCCCAGACUCCUACGGGAGGCAGCAGUGGGGAAUAUUGGACAAUGGGGGCAACCCUGAUCCAGCGAUGCCGCGUGUGUGAAGAAGGCCUUAGGGUUGUAAAGCACUUUUAGUAGUGAGGAAAAGGUAGUGAUGAAAAGUCGCUACUGCUGACGUUAGCUACAGAAAAAGCACCGGCUAACUCUGUGCCGGCAGCCGCGGUAAUACAGAGGGUGCAAGCGUUAAUCGGAAUGACUGGGCGUAAAGAGCGCGUAGGCGGCAAAGCAAGUUAAUUGUUAAAGAUUAAAGCUCAACUUUAAUAUGCAAUUAAAACUGCUUGGCUAGAGAACAGCAGAGGGGAGUGGAAUUUCCGGGAGUAGCAGUGAAAUGCGUAGAAACCGGAAGGAACACCAGUUGCGAAGGCGG
rnacentral:rRNA from 1 species